rnacentral:rRNA from 1 species
AAACGUAGGUGGCGAACGUUAUCCGGAUUUACUGGGCGUAAAGCGCUCGCAGGCGGCUUCGUAAGUCUGACGUGAAAGCUCCCGGCUUAACUGGGAGAGGCCGUUGGAUACUGCGGAGCUUGAGGGGAGGAGAGGAGAGUGGAAUUCCCGGUGUAGCGGUGGAAUGCGUAGAUAUCGGGAGGGACUCCAGUGGCGAAGGCGACUCUCUGGCCUGACCCUGACGCUCAGGAGCGAAAGCGUGGGGAGCGAACAGGAUUAGAAACCCUAGUAGUCC